AUUUCAUUGAAUUUUGAGUGCAUAUGCCUUAUGGUAAUGAUGGUGUGUGGUCUCCAUCUAAAAUAUUUCAGUAACUUUGGUUAUGGCACUCAAAAGUUUCUACCUAUCUGUUGUAUUAGUUGAUAAAUAUGCAUGCAAUAUUUGCAGAUGGACAAACAAUCAAUGAAUCAAUCAAUCUAUAUUGGGUUAAACCUUCAUGCUUAAUCUGUAGUUGCUGUUUAGAAUCAUUGUAAGUUGUUCUGUAACUAUACUGAUGCUAUAACCAUGAUAACAGUCUGAUUUAUUAUUUCAUUAUUCUCAACAUGUGGCUUGUUUAAUUUCAUUUGUUGAUUGACGGAAAUUCAAUUAUGACUUCAAAUUUUCUUGCUUUGCCUCAGAAUUUAUCAUUGUGAUAUCAUGAAAAAAAACUACCAUGCCUGAUGAGGUCAAUUAGAAAGAACAUGUAUGUCUUUUUGCAGAUCAUUGACAAUUUAAGAUAAUGUGAGCAUACAUAAAUAUAUUUAAUGCCGUGGUAUAGUGGUUAGUGCAUCGGACUAAUAACACAAAGGUUCC
rnacentral:lncRNA from 1 species